rnacentral:rRNA from 1 species
UACGAAGGGGGCUAGCGUUGCUCGGAAUUACUGGGCGUAAAGCGCACGUAGGCGGCUUCUUAAGUCGGUGGUGAAAUCCUGGAGCUCAACUCCAGAACUGCCUCGAUACUGGGAGCUUGAGUCCGGGAGAGGUGAGUGGAACUGCGAGUGUAGAGGUGAAAUUCGUAGAUAUUCGCAAGAACACCAGUGGCGAAGGCGGCUCACUGGCCCGGUACUGACGCUGAGGUGCGAAAGCGUGGGGAGCAAACAGGGAUUAAGAAACCCUGGGUACGUC